CAAGUCAGCACAUGGGGCGGAGCCCGCUUCUUGUUAACAUUCACCGACGACUGUACGAGGAAGACUUUUGGCUACCUCAUGAAGUCGAAAAAUGAGAUCAGGAGAUAACACCACCAGCGUGGUCACCACUGACUGAUCAGUACUGUACUGGCGAAGACAGUGCUUCCGACAAUGGUGAGGGACACACUUCUCUGCCUGAGCCGGAAGUUGGGUGUCAAGGAGGAGGGUCGACUGCAUCAUCAGAUGAUGACGCGUCAUGCCCUCAACGCCCUGUACGUAGUACCAGAGGCAAAUUACCACAGAAAAUGGAUGACUACGACUUAUCAG